rnacentral:rRNA from 1 species
AACACGUAGGGGGCAAGCGUUGUCCGGAUUUAUUGGGCGUAAAGAGCUCGUAGGUGGCUGAGUAAGUCGGAUGUUAAAUCCCCAGGCUCAACCUGGGACACCACCCGAUACUGCUCUGGCUAGAGUCCGGUAGGGGAGCGUGGAAUUCCUGGUGUAGCGGUGAAAUGCGCAGAUAUCAGGAGGAACACCAGCGGCGAAGGCGGCGCUCUGGGCCGGUACUGACACUGAGGAGCGAAAGCGUGGGUAGCAAACAGGAUUAGAUACCCUGGUAGUCCACGCCGUAAACGUUGGGCACUAGGUGUGGGGUCUAUUCAACGGACUCCGUGCCGUAGCUAACGCAUUAAGUGCCCCGCCUGGGGAGUACGGCCGCAAGGCUAAAACUCAAAGGAAUUGACGGGGG